UUGUACAAAAAUGGUUAUAAGAUAAAAUUUAUAUGCUUAGACUCAUUAAUGAGUCUAGUUUCAAAUGAAAUCAAAUACAACACACUUUGAAUUCUGUAAAAUGAGAAAUUUGAUUCGUAGUGAAGAGUGGUCAGAUUAGUCAAACAGUGAAACAGGGGAAACUUUAAGAAAAAUCUGGUAUUGAUUGGCCAAACCUAAAAUUCUGGUAAUUUGAUGGAUGGAAGAUAUACGAGUCUAUAUUCAGGAAAAAUUAACGGCAAGUGAUUUGGAGUUUUGUAGCUCCGGUUAUAAAUAAUUUAGUGACCAUUGCUCAGGAAAACAGCUCGUAGUGAAUAUGUGACUUUGUUGUAAACAUGGAUAAAACUUGUUUUAGUUGCUCAUAAGCUAUUGAUUAAACCCAUACUUGAAUUCUAAAUCGUGAUAUUGUAAGCUUAUGAGUAUUCGAAUAUGAAAUGAUAGUAUGGCGUAAAAUUGAAUUAUUCAUUGGAAAGUGAUGGAUGUAGAUUCGGCCAAGACCAAGUCUGUACAUGAUAGUAUAUGUGGUAUGUGAAGUAUAUUUGAAUAAAUGUGAAAGUGUAUAUAUAUGUGAUAAGGCCUAAUGGCCAAUGUGAUGAAUGUGAAAGUGUAUAUAUAUGUGAUAAGGCCUAAUGGCCGAUGUGAUGAAUGUGAAAGUGUAUAUAUGUGAUAAGGCCUAAUGGCCGAUGUGAUGAAUGUGAAAGUGUAUAUAUGUGAUAAGGCCGAAUGGCCAAUGUGAUGAAUGUGAAAGUGUAUAUAUAUGUGAUAAGGCCGAAUGGCCAAUGUGAUGAAUGUGAACAUGUGUAUGUGUGAUAAGGCCGAAUGGCCAAUGUGAUGAAUGUGAACAUGCAUAUAUGAGAUAAGGCCGAAUGGCCAAUGUGAUGAAUGUGAACAUGUGUAUGUGUGAUAAGGCCGAAUGGCCAAUGUGAUGAAUGUGAACAUGUGUAUGUGUGAUAAGGCCGAAUGGCCAAUGUGAUGAAUGUGAACAUGCAUAUAUGAGAUAAGGCCGAAUGGCCAAUGUGAUGAAUGUGAAAGUGUAUAUAUGUGAUAAGGCCGAAUGGCCAAUGUGAUGGAUGUGGAAGUGUAUAAAUGUGAUAAGUCCCGAAGGGCAAUUGUGUCAGUACUAUAUCCGGGUUAAAACCCCGCAGGCUUUAUGCGAGAAUAUUAUCCUGAUUAAUGUCCGUAGGCUUCGUGCUCGUACUAUAUCCGAGCUUUAAAGAUCCGACGGCUAAAUGCUAGGAUUCAAGUAAGACUUUGAUAUUGAGUAUCUGCAUUAAGUUACCAUCAAAUAAGUAUUAUGUAUUCAAGAUGUUUAGGUACGUAUUACUUACUCAUCGGUGGAGUGAUUUCGAGGUGAAUUAUCAGUAUCAAAGAGGUAGGUAAAUGUGAUUAAUAUUAUAACUCCAAAUGUGAGAAUGAUCUAAUUGGUAAUGGUAUGUUUGUAUAAUAAAGUAUGCGAUGAAAUAUUCUUAUGUAUUAGUGCAUAUUCUGCCCAAAAGCCUUAUGAUCUGAGUAUGGGUUGGGUUGAGCUAGAUGUGCCAGUACAAGGUAAGGAUUAUGAUUUGUAAGCUUACAUAUAUGUGAUAAGGAAUAUGUUGGUUCUUUAUGUGCCUAUGGUAAUUUAGUACUUGUCAUGUUGAAAUACUUAAAAGUAUGGAUGUGAUUAUGAACAAGUGGAAAGGAUUAUUGAAAGUUGAAAAUCGAUGAAGAAUGUGCUUUGGAAAUAUUUGACCAUCUAGGUCAUUAUUAUUCGAAAGUAUAUAUGUGGCAGCCAAGUGUUGCGUUUAAUGAUAUUAUAGAUCGAGAUGAAGCUCUAGAUUAACUUCAUCGAACAGUUGAAAUGAAUGACCAAUGAUAGUGAUUGAGAACACUUUGUUUUGCUUAAAACUUACUAAGCAUUAAAUGCUUACUCCGUUCUUUGAAUCUCUGUUUUAUAGAUUUUGGUUCGUCAGCUAUCGGACUCGGGAUUAUUGAAGUCGAAGUCGCCCACACUAUCAAAACCCUUUUGGUACACUUUUGGUUGAACUCUGAAAAUUGCAUGUAUAGGACUACCCUUUUGUUGUUGGUCAUGUACCCUUCGGUUUUGUAUAAUUUUGGAUAGCCAUGCGAAAAUGGCUUAUAUAUGUUUGAGCAUAAUGUUAUAAUCAUUUGGUAUGGAUAUGGUUAUUGAGAGGUGUGGAUAUGCUUAACAAGGAUUGGCCAUGGGAAUGGUUAAUCAUUAUCAUAAUUUGUGCUAUUUAUGCUAAAAGGGCUAGUUGAAUCAUGGAAACUAUGAAAUACGUAAAGUCUACCUUAAAGGCAGAUGCUGACAGUAGCAGUGAUGUAGAUUUAGAAAAUCAAUAAAAAUAGUAGGAAUGGAAUUAAAUAGUGAAUAAAUUAUUUAAAUGAACCUUGAUGAAUCCAAUUUCAUAUGGAAAAAACGAAACGGUCAUAUGAGUGGUAUGUUAAGAGAUAAUUAGGUUUUCGUGAAACAGGGCCAGAACAGUUUCUGGAUUCCCUGUUCCGAUUUUGGAAAUUCAUUAUAAAUUAACCAGAGAUAAUUAGGAGUCAUGCCAUAUAUGUAUAGAUUCCUCUCUGAGUUUAGUUUCUAUAGAAGCAAACGGCAUCAGUAUUGAAGCCCUGUACGGGGCGAUAUCCUAAUUGUAAUGCAUGAAGGUCAGUGUAGUCGCACCCUGUAACAGGGGAGACUUUAACUAAUAAACUGUACUAAUUGGCCCGACCAAAAAUUCUAGAAAACAAUAUGUAGAUGGACAUAUGAGUCUAGUUUCAGGGAAAAAUCACGAAACUGAUUUUCGAGUUGUGAAACUCAAGAUAUGAUUUUUAAGGUGACAGCGACACAGUUAGCCAGCUGUCUGGAAAUUUUUAAAAUGGACUGCGAUAGUAAGCGAAUUUAGUCUGUGAACCCCUCGUGUCCGACUCCGGAAACGGUCUCGGGUACGGGGCGUUACAAUUUUAUUGGUAUCAGAGCUACGGUUUAGUCGAUUCUAGGACUUCUGUAAUACGUUUGGGUCUAGCUAUACAUGCCAUUAUGUGAAUAUUUGAUAGUGUGGUGAUUUCUGACAAUUGAAAAUGUGUUUAUUUAUUGUAAUGAAUUCCGAUCCCGAUCGAGCUGUAGCAGAUGGUAUUGAGAGGACUGAGACAUGCUUAUGAUGUGUCAAUAUUGAGAAGGGUAUAACAUAAGUAAGUUCUUGAGUAAUAGAGCUUAAAUUAUUAUUUGAUUAGAUCAUGUUUUAAGCAAAUCAAAAUCAUGCUUUUUGUGUGUGGCUAUUGAGCCGAAAUUGCAAGAGUGAUAAGUGUCUUGUGUUUGAGUUUUGCUAAUGAAAAUGAAAUACGAAUGUGUCAUGAUUUAUUGUUAAAUGUGCAUGGUUAUUCGAAUGAUGUCCGGGCUAAGUCCCGAAGGCUUUGUGCUAAGUGACCAUAUCCGGACUAAGAUCCGAAGGCAUUUGUGCGAGUUACUAUUUCCGGGCUAAGCCUGAAGGCAUUGGUGCGAGUUACUAAAUCCGGGUUAAGUCCCGAAGAGCAUUCAUGCUAGUGAUGUAUCCGGGCUAAGUCCCGAAGAGCAUUCAUGCUUGUGAUGUAUUCGGGCUAAGUCUCGAAGAGCAUUCAUGCUAGUGAUGUAUCCGGGCUAAGUUCCGAAGAGCAUUCAUGCUAGUGAUGUAUCCAGGCUAAGUUCCGAAGAGCAUUCAUGCUAGUGAUGUAUCCGGGCUAAGUUCCAAAGAGCAUUCGUGCUAGUGAUAUAUCCGUGCUAAACCCCGAAGAGAAUUCGUGCUGGUGUUAUAUCCGGGCUAGGUCCCGAAGAGCAAUCAUGCUGGUGAUGUGUAUUCGGGCCUUCGUGCCUAGUAGGCUUCGUGCCGGUAAUUUGAGCAAAGUUUAAGUAUUCAUUACUAUACGAAUUCAAAUUUAAAUGAGAUGAUAUGUUUAAAAGUGUACAUACAUGAUGUUUAUAGACUUGGUUAAGUCAUUUCAAUGUGUAAUAACGAAUGAAUAAGAGCACUAUGUGUGUGAAUGAUUAGAGGCACUGUGUGUGUGCGAAUUCCUUUAAUCGAGCACUAUGAGUGCGAGAUCGAUCAGUGGGCACUAAGUGUGUGAAGUGGAAUUCAUGUAAGACCUUGUCUGGGACGAAGGCAUUGAUUUGAGAUAGUGUGUAAGACCAUGUCUGGGACACGGCAUCGGCUCGAUAUGUGAGCAUAUGUAAGACCAUAUCUAGGAUAUGGCAUUGUAAGAGCUAUAUGUGCUUAAUGAGUAUCCGUAAUGAUUUCGAAUGAUUCAACGGGUAUCGUUAACAGUGAUUAAAUGUGCUAAAUGAAUUCAAUGUUCAGGUAUGUGGAAGUUGAUUUUCUUUUGGAAAUGAGUUAAGUUGAAUAUUGAGAUGUCAUAAAGUUAUAAAGGAUAUUUAUUGGGAUGUUUGAGUAUAUGUGUACUUUCGGUUAGGUUACAGCUUAUACAUGAAUGAAAAUGUGGGUUACAAAUAUGUGGGUUGAUGAUGUGAAUUAUACAUGUUAAUAUGUGCUUAAUAUGUGUUUGAAAUGCAUUUGUGAAUUAAAUUAAGUGAUUAUUGCUUAUGAAAUCAAGAAAAUGAGAUAAAUGUGCAUACUUGUAGAAAUGUUUAUGUAUUUGUUUUAAGAUAAGAAAAUGAUUUUAUAGAUCGAUGAGAAAUCAAUAAUGAAUUACAAUUGCUAUCGAUGAGCUAAUGUUUAUAUGAAUAUAAUUCAAUAAGAGGACAUUAUCCUAAACUAUGCAUCGGUAGAAAUUUUCGGGGACGAAAAUCCCUAAAGGGGGGAAGAGUUGUGACACCCCUAAAGUGACCCUAGUCGGAAAGCGGUCUCGGGACCGCUAGACCGAGUCACCAAAUUAUUUGAAUGUGAUAAUUAUUGCCUAAAAUAUGUGAAUAUAAAUGUGUGAAAGUUUUAAGCUUCGAUUUAGUUAAUUGCAUGUGAAUUUAGUUCAUAGGACUUAUGUGAGAAAAUUUAGAAAUGUGCUAGGCAAAUGCAAGUGGCCUAAUAGUGCAUGUAAUCAAAGGGGUGGACUUGCAUGUCAAUUUCCCCCCAUUUAAGUACUAGUGGCCGGCCAUGACAAGGGAUGAUGGGCAAAACAUGUUAUGAAACAUGUUGUGUUAAUGGAAGAAUAAAAUAAGAAGCAUGGGCAAUAAACUAAUAAGAAAUUGAAGGAAGAAAACAAAGAGAAAAAAAUGUGUUCAUCAUUCUCAUGCAUGACCAAAAAAAAAAGAAGAGAAAAGCUCUCAUGUUGUUCUUGGCCGAACAGGAGAAAGAAAAAGAAGGAAAAAGAGCUUUGAGGAAAUCGGCUAUGGUGGUUUGAUAGACUAAGGUAUGUUUGAUGAUGUUCCAUGAGAUGCAUGCAUGUUUUAGUAGUUAGCUUGAGUUCUAAAUAGCCCAUGGUUCAAAUCUUUACUAUGUCAUGGAGAUGAUAUUCGGCCAAGGUGGAUUGGUGUUGAUAUCAUUUGCAUGCUAAAAGGUGGCCAUAUGACCUAUCAAACUCCUUGUCAUAUUCGGCCAUAAGCUAGCAAAAUGAGACUUUAAUGAGUUAAAUUUGUUUGAAUUAAGCUCAAGAGCAAAGGGGAACUAAAUCCGAUAAAGGGAAGGAAAAAGUGGUCGAAUAGCCGCCGAAAUCGUUCGACAACAUCCGAGGUAAGUUUUAAGUGAUUAAACGUUGAGUAAAUUCAAUCAUAAUAGGACAUAAUGAGUUGAUUUAAUAAGAUAUGAUGUGGCCAUGAUAUGUCUUAAACUCAAAUGGUAAGUUCAUAUGUGUUUGGACUUGGAAAUUUAAGAGCAAAUUGUAAUAAUUUGCUUUGGACAGCAGCAGUAACGUGAUUUUAGAAAAUCAUUAUAAAUUGUACAAAAAUGGUUAUAAGAUAAAAUUUAUAUGCUUAGACUCAUUAAUGAGUCUAGUUUCAAAUGAAAUCAAAUACAACACAUUUUGAAUUCUGUAAAAUGAGAAAUUUGAUUCGUAGUGAAGAGUGGUCAGAUUAGUCAAACAGUGAAACAGGGGAAACUUUAAGAAAAAUCUGGUAUUGAUUGGCCAAACCUAAAAUUCUGGAAAUUUGAUGGAUAGAAG
rnacentral:lncRNA from 1 species